rnacentral:lncRNA from 1 species
UUUUGUUGGGUACUUUUGGAAUUAUUCUUCAUGGAAGGCUCAUGCAACAUUUUGAGAGAGAAUAAGAAUAACUCCCAAAGCAGAGAAUGUGAUGCCACCCUUUCUCACUACCUACAACUUUCUCAUCUGGUCAGAUCACCUCCGAAGUCACUAGCUACUCAAUUCCAAUGCCCACAAAAGUACCCAUCCAUCUAGCCAAUACCUUUCUAAAUCAGAAAUUGCAAGAUUCAAUUUUUCAAAAAAAAAAUAAGAAUUAAUAUUUUUG